AAAGAAGGAAGUUCAAGCAGAUUUGAGCAGUGGGUUCCAUGAUUGGUGCAGCUGGAACCCCCACUGUAGAAGCAGAGAAGGAAACAGGCUAGAGAGAAGAGGCAGGGGACACAGAGCAGACUCAGAGCCCAAAAGUGGGAGAGGCACUUGGAAUCCCACAGAUUUUGAAGGGAGCAUUGAUAGUUCCUAAGACAGAGGUUCUCAGCAUGUGGUCAAGACCCCAUUGGAGUUUGCAUAUUAGAUAUCCUGCAUAUCAGAUCUUUACAUUGUGAUUGAUAAUAGUAGCAAAUUAGUUAUGGUGUGUCAAUGAAAUUAUUUUAUGGUUGGGGGGUCCCCACAACAUGAAGAACUGUAUUAAAGAGUCACAGCAUUAGGAAGGUUGAGAACCACCGUCUUAAGAGAUGUGAACAAAGGGAUGGUACCCCAUCCCUCCCUUUCUCAGCCUCAUUCACCCCAAGAGGGUUUACUUCACUAGACAAUGAGCUCCAGUGUGUUUAUCACUAGUUAAUUUUGUGGACCAAAAUUUCUGAAGCUUCAGAGGAAAAAGAACACAAGACUUCUCUACAAUGCUAUGUUCUAAAUACCUCUAUGCUGCUUGGGAUGGAUCUGCCACAGAAAAUGCGUUCAGAGCUG
rnacentral:lncRNA from 1 species